CCUACGGGUGGCAGCAGUGGGGAAUAUUGCACAAUGGGGGAAACCCUGAUGCAGCGACGCCGCGUGAGUGAAGAAGCAUUUCGGUAUGUAAAGCUCUAUCAGCAGGGAAGAAAAUGACGGUACCUGAUUAAGAAGCCCCUGCUAACUACGUGCCAGCAGCCGCGGUAAUACGGAGGGGGCAAGCGUUAUCCGGCUUUACUGGGUGUAAAGGGAGCGUAGACGGGAGCGCAAGCCGGAAGUGAAAUGCCGUGGCUUAACCACGGAACUGCUUUGGAAACUGUGCAGCUAGAGUGCAGGAGAGGUAAGUGGAAGUCCUGGUGUAGCGGUGAAAUGCGUAGAUAUUAGGAGGAACACCAGGGGCGAAGGCGGCUUACUGGACUGUAACUGACGUUGAUGCUCGAAAGCGUGGGGAGCAAACAGGAUUAGAUACCCUGGUAGUC
rnacentral:rRNA from 1 species